UUACAACUCGUCGAUCAAGUAUGGCUUGUGGUUGAGCUUGAACUUCCCUAGUAGUAGAAGUGUCCGGCAAAUGGCACUACACUAUUGCAUCUUCACCCAAUUUCCAUUUAAGGCAUGCAACAUGAAAGACUGGAUGUAUUUUAGAGCUAGCAGGCAAAUCCAAGCAGUAGGCAACUGGUCCAAUGCGUUCUAAUACCUUAUAAGGCCCAAAAAAUCGAGGAGAUAGCUUCAUGGAAGAUCGGACCUUUAUGGAAGUUUGCUUGUAAGGUUGAAGACGAAGGAAAACCCAAUCACCAACAGUAAAUUCUCGUUCACUUCGGUGUUUAUCAACUUGUUGUUUCAUUCUUGCUUGUGCG
rnacentral:lncRNA from 1 species